UUCAAGAUUGAGUAAACUGUCCCUCUAAGAGGUCAGGUGACCUGACAAAAAUGAUACAAGUGAACUAGGAUUGGACUCCAGCCACAGAGGAAACAAACAGCACAAACACCAACAAGAAAUAAAGGCCCCAAGAAGGUUAACGCAGAUACAUCAAAGGAGAGAAAAGACAUUAUACAGAAGAAAGUCGUUACAACUUGAGAUGUCUCAAAAUCUCAUCAUACAUCUAAACUCCUCAGCUGCAUAUGUAUCAAUUUGGAUUUUCUUAUUUAUAUAAUGAGUUGACAAGCUCCUGGGGACCACCAGAAUCUGGGUCUGUUAAUUAUCUAAUAUAAUUAUGGCAAGAAACAUCUGUGCCUUUUCUCCUGCCCCACACGAGUAGAAACACGCACUUACACAGUAGGACCUAGAGGUAAUGCCUAGCUUCAGUAGACCUCUUGCAACCACAAGGCUACAAGCCGGAGACAGCAAGUGAAGCACACUCAGGAGAGAGGAGCAAUUAGUCAGAGGAGCCUGGGGUCUUGAUCACAUCUUGAACAGCUGCACCAGUCCCAGUUUUCCUUUCUGGACUUUUAGUUAUGUGGGGAAGAUAACAUAGAAAGAUAACAUAAUCUCUAUGUUAGGCCAAGGUGUUUUGUUUUUUUUUUUAAGUCAAUUCCUAAUAUUGCUACCAAGUGGUGGAGUUGAGAUUUAAAUCUGUCUCCCUGACUCCAAAUCCCAUAUUAUUUCACUUUGCUAUACUCUCUUUCCAUAUCACAUAGUUUUAGAUCAAAUUCAAUAAUUCCAAUGUGAAUAUAAAGCAAAACACCAAAUGACACAAAAAAGGAGACAGCCAUAUUCUAGAGUUAGGUGAUAAGCUGUGCCUUGUCUGCUCAGGUUUUCCGAUGGGUAGGAUAAAUUUAGCAGUGGUGGAAUGAUCAGCGACGGCUUCAUGGAUGGGGAAGCCUGCAUGCUAAGCCUCAAUGAUUAGGUAGAACUUAGAUUCUCGGAGAGGAGAUGGCACAAGGUGAUGCCAUCUAGAGUCAUCUAGAAAAGAGACUGGCAUCAUUGGUGAAGGGGAAUCAUGAGAACAUUUUCCCUCUCACUCUCCUCUCUUUACCUUGAUGAUGUUCAGUUAGAAAAUCCACUGGACUUCUUCUUUUUAAUUCUUUGGCAAAGAGUUUGAGAAGUGAAUGCAUCAUAAUUGGUAAAGGUCAAAAAGUAGGAACAGGUGGAAGAAGGAAGUGUCCUCUGGCAACCAACAGCACUGUUGAUGUAAGAUAGGCAGUGGAGACAACUUGAGAUGGGUGGGUCACGGUAGGUUCCUUUUUGUCUUCUCAUUGAUUUCUCACAUGCACUGGGUGAAAGCUCCCCUGUUCUUACACCAAGAUGUGAUGCUGCUGUCAGGAAGGCCCAUGGCAAUCCUAAGAAUUAGGCACAAGUUUUGACAAGUGGUGAGUGAGUGCCAGCAUGUUGAGCUACUUGAAGAGCUUUUAAAAUAACUACCUUAAAUUUAUUUGAUGUGUCUGAAGAGAUUUGGCAUCCAGCAGAGUCUUCACUGGCUUCACUGCUUCCUUUUGGAAUCAUAAAUUUCUUCUGAGGGUGCACUGGAGGGACAGGGAGUAGUCUUCAGCUCCUUCUCCAUUUCCUAAAUCAAUUAUUUUCCCGAACAGAUAAGAGCUGAGUACAGUAUCACUGUCUUUAGAUGGCCUUGUCAAAAAGACCUGCCAAAAUCAAGUGCAUUUAAGACGUGUCCUCAAAACUUUUGUAACUUUAUAUACACAUUUACAUGGAAAUGUUUAGCUAAUUCUUAAAAUGUUUAUAAACUGGUUAUUCAUGUUUUAUAGAAUGAACAAACUUAGCUAUAAGUGGUCUCCUGAACGGUAUUUAGAACUAAUUUUCCUGUAGUACAUUUUGCCUUGAUAUAAGUGUUAUUUGGGUUUUCCCUAAAUUGCUUUUAUGUCACAAUUCCAUGUACUACCUAAAAAUACCAGAGUAAGAGUCUUAUUUUUAGACUAAGCUGUGUUGACUGUUGAAAUUAAAACAAGCUGGAAAACUAGAGAGACAAAGGCACACAGGUAAGAAGCAACAUGACAUCUUAGGGGAAAUUCAAGCAGUUUUCAUUAUUAAUAACUGGUAUUUUGUAAUAUGUCUAGUGCUGAUAGCUAAUGAUUUUGUUUCAUUCUAUUUAUCAUAUCUGUGGAUGAUCCAAUGGAGGAUUAUCCAUAGACAGUCCCUGUUCUCUCAGAGGUGUCAGGAUAAGCAUCACCGUUUUAGUCUGGUUUUCUCAGUAUUGCUCAGAGGAAUUACACAGGAGGAAACUGUAAUUCUCAUUCUGUCUUCUGACAGUAUUUACCUGCUGCUGCAGGGCAACAUAUUUACUCAUUUGUGCAUGUGUUCCAUCAGUGCUUCUCAAACAGCUACUCUGUGCCAGGCACUGUGCUAGGCCCUAAGGGUACCUGGAUGAAUAAGUCACAGAGGCUACCUUGGAGGAAUUCACCAUCUAGUGGAGGAGACAAAACUUGAAUGCAAAUAUCGACAACAGCAGUUGGCAUUGAGAUAAUUAAUGAAAACCACUUAGCCCAGUAUGUGGAGCCUAGAAGGCACUCAGUAAGUGAUAGUUGUUUUUAAGAACUAUUAGGUUCAUAGGCGGAAGCAACACAUCUAUCUGUGGAGCAUCAUGGAAGGCUUCCUGUUAAAAGUGAUUUUUUUCCUCUGAACCUCACUUUCCAUUCAUACAAAACAAUGGGAUUUAGACUAAACUCCCAGUGACCUCAGAGAGUAUUUCCUGCUAUACCAAUCUACAGAUAUGGUAUGGUUUAGGGUGGAAAGAGUGGUGGUGCACAGUAAAGGGUUCAUUCAUCAGCCCUGUGUCCCCCAAAUCCUGCAUAUUCUGAAGAUCUUCAGAACUGACCCUCAAUAAUCUCCCAGAAAAACACCUCUGAGUCCUUGGAAUACCUGCCUAGUAAGAGUGUCUUUGGAUACCUGAGGCCUUGGACCAUAUGUUUGUGCUUAUGAUCUUAUCCGUGUUGAAUGCUUAUUUUUGUGUGCCUGGGCUUUGGGCUAUACAGUAUCAAUUUGACAUCUGGGAGGCUGAAGUCUGAGUAGCUGAGGUCAGUCACACAGAUGCUCUAUCCAUAUGUGACUAAUCCCCCGAUAAAAAUCCUGGGCACCAAGUCUUGGGUGAGAUUCCCUAGUUGAAAAUACUCUAUACAUAUUGCCACAUAUCAUUGCUGGGAGUAUUAAAUUCCCAGUUGUGGCCACACAACUUCACUGAGAGAGGACAACUAGAAUUGUGUACCUAAUCUCUCCUGGACUCCAUGCAAUAAACCUUCUUCCUUUGCCAAUUUGAAUCUGUAUUGUUCCACUGUAAUAAACUAUGUAACCAUGAUUAUAACCAUUUUUGUGAGUUCUGUGAGUCUUUCUAGGAAAUCACUGAACUUGAAUGUGAUCUUGGAGAGCCCAAACACAGGAGGAACAGAUUGGAAAGUAAAAAAUCAAGGGAGAUUAAACAAAUAUGAGAAGGAAUCAUCCACCUAGAACAGACACAAGGACAACAAAUAAGAAAUCUGUAGCAGAGAUUACACAAUUAUGUUGGAAAUUGCAGGAUGAAGGGGAGACCAGAGGAACAAAAGGGAGUCGAAGCACUAUUCCCAGAUGGGAUACCGUAUCUGUCUCCUGUGAUCCUGAGGAAUCUACAGAGAAGAGAUUUUCCAGACAAACAGGACAGGAUUGGCAUUAUCAGAUGAUUGAAUGCUCCUCUGCCAGUCUCUCCACUGCACUGUUGGAGCCUCACCUAAAGUGUAUC